AUAUAUAUAUAUUUCAAUGACAAAAUAACAUAAAAAGUGUUAGCUUGAACCAGCAAGCCAUUGAUUCAAGACCCCCAAAGAUCCAAUCUUAGACUUUAAAUCCCCAAAUCCAAAACAUGAUAGCCUUAAUUGAAGUGACCGAGGCCAGUUUAACCCAAACCAACAAGAAAUAAUCACAAAGGAGCAAUUAAUUAGAACAAAA
rnacentral:lncRNA from 1 species